CACACUCACACUCAGACAGACGCUUCCUCUCAGCAAUGUGCACCAUGUCCUCCUCCACUGCGCUUCUGUUCUGGAUGGCCUCAGCAGUAGUAACAGUUUGCUUCAGCAGUGAUGGGCAUACUAAAAUCUAUGGGAUUAAAGGACACUCCAUUCGCCUAGACAUUCCUGCACAGCGUAAUGACUCAGAACUCGUGUGGAAACUGCAAGAUGGGACAAUAAUAGUUAAAGACAAAACUGUGGCUCCAAGGUAUCAGCAGAAGGUGUUCUUUGACAAAGAUUUCUCCAUCCAGUUGACCAAUCUGAAUGAGAAUGACAAUGGAAUUUACAUUGCUAUUAACCUCGAAGGAAAAUGGAAGGAAACAACACUAGUCUCCUACGAAUUAGUAUCAUGGGUAAGUAAGCUCCUUUGUGAUGCAGUUUCUAAAGAAAAGUGCAAACAUUAGAUGCCGCUCUCCUGUAUGAAAUAUCAAGUUUCAGGCCGUGUGUUAAGACACUGACCUUUCACCUUCACAUCUGUGACUCAUCCCAUCCUUUGGUUUAAAAUAUCAUUCUUUUUUUAUAUUUUAUAUAUUUAUAAUAUUAUAAUUUUUUCUCUUUUUCUGAUGAAAAAUGUAAAUACACUAAUUGAGUUAAGGGGUACUGUGCUGUUUUAGGCAGAAAUGAUGUAAGAAUACAAUACAAUACUACAUGGGGGCACUCCGAAUGAAACUCAGUAGCUGCUCUAUGUCAAAUAUAGUGACAGCCGCUUCUACAUUAAAGUCAUCAGGUCUCCGUACAGCUUUUCAGGUUUCCAUGCCGAUAUGCAAUAUGCUUUGAGUUUGGGAGUUAUUCUGUCCCAAAAUGAAUUUGAGAGUAAUUGAUAUAUCACAGUUAUGUCACUAGUUAAUACUGGAAUCAAUGAGUUCCAUGAGUUCCACUAAUACGUUCCCGCGCUUUAGCGUUUGUUGUGUUUCACAACAUCACAGUGUGUGUGUGUGAGUGGUAGUGUGUGUGUGAGUGGUAGUGUGUGUGAGUGGUCGUGUGUGUGUAUGAGUUCCACUAAUAAGUUCCCUUGCUUUAGCGUCUGUUGUGUUUCACAACAUCACAGAAAGAGAACUGAAAGUAGAGUAGUCAAGCCAUGGCGGGCAUGUUGGGGAAGGUGGCGGUGACACCACAGCGGGGAGAGACACAGUAUCGUGACACACAUUUCCUGGACGUCCUGCUGUAGAGUCUGUUCUCCCCCGAUCAGUGACACAUUCAACUUCCUAACCACAUCUCUCCCCUUGACUCACAACAGAGGCCGUGUCCAAACCCAUCAUAAAGAUAAACUCCUCUGGUCUCCACGGCAACUCCUUUGGUCGAAACUGUAGCUUCCAUGUGAACUGCUCCUCCUCCGGCUCGUGGGCUGCAUACAGCUGUGACGAGAACCACUGCUCACCACUGCGGUCGUCGCCCCUGGCAACC
rnacentral:lncRNA from 1 species